UCAGCCUUGUAUGGGCAUCUGUGUCCACUCAGUGACUCGGAGUGAGCAUAGACAGCUCAUAAUGGCAUUUGGGCUGAGCUGGAUCUUGCUCUUUGCAAUUUGGAAAGGUGUCCAGGCUGAGUUGCAGCUGGUGGAGUACGGGGGAAGCUUGGUGCCGCCUGGAGGGUCCCUAACCCUCUCCUGUGUGACCUUGGAAUUCCCCUUCAGCAGCUAUGCCAUGGGCUGGAUCCGCCAACCUCCAGGACAGGGGCUGGAGUGGCUCUCACUCAUCUAUCAUGACAGUAGUAAAAUAAACUACGCAAACUCUGUGAAGGGCCGAUUCACUAUCUCCAGAGAUAACGGCCGGAACACGCUGUAUCUGCAGAUGAACAGCCUGAGAACGGAGGACACGGCCCUGUAUUACUGUGCUGCCUACACAGUGAGGAGACCUCAGUGUGAGCCCAGACAAAAAUCUCCGUGCAGGUGGUCUCACGUCCGGCAGGGGGCGGUAUGAUCCAUGGAAAACCAUACUGGGCUGAGGAGCAGGUGCAGAGCAGGAAGCAGGAGAGAGGUUUCCUGGAGCCUCUGUGGUUUCCCUUCUGCAUUAGAUCAUAGCACCUGAUCCCACCCACCGAUGCAUGAGCUGUAAUGAAGUAUGCAAGUCCAAGUCAACACGUGUUCCAUUUAAUCCUUAGGAAUUUCACUUACUGGGUAAACAUGACUUGUACUAAUCUCAAGUUAAGUUGUAAAUUUUGUGAAUAUAGUUUUCUUUUGAAUAUCUAAUCGUCCUCACAUCUAAAAAUCCACCUGUGUGUUUCAUCUCAGUGAUAAGGAAUUGUCUCACGCAUCAAUAAAUG